rnacentral:rRNA from 1 species
GCAUAACGCGAAGAACCUUACCUAAGCUUGACAUCCUUUUGACCGAUGCCUAAUCGCAUCUUUCCCUUUGGGGACAGAAGUGACAGGUGGUGCAUGGUUGUCGUCAGCUCGUGUCGUGAGAUGUUGGGUUAAGUCCCGCAACGAGCGCAACCCUUGCCUUUAGUUGCCAGCAUUAAGUUGGGCACUCUAGAGGGACUGCCAGGGAUAACCUGGAGGAAGGUGGGGAUGACGUCAAAUCAUCAUGCCCCUUAUGCUUAGGGCUACACACGUGCUACAAUGGGUGGUACAGAGGGCAGCCAAGUCGUGAGGCGGAGCUAAUCCCUUAAAGCCAUUCUCAGUUCGGAUUGUAGGCUGAAACCCGCCUACAUGAAGCUGGAGUUACUAGUAAUCGCAGAUCAGAAUGCUGCGGUGAAUGCGUUCCCGGGUCUUGUACACACCG